UACGUAGGGGGCUAGCGUUGUCCGGAAUCAUUGGGCGUAAAGAGCGUGUAGGCGGUCCGGUAAGUCCGCUGUGAAAGUCGGGGGCUCAACCCUCGAAUGCCGGUGGAUACUGUCGGGCUAGAGUGCGGAAGAGGCGAGUGGAAUUCCUGGUGUAGCGGUGAAAUGCGCAGAUAUCAGGAGGAACACCUAUUGCGAAGGCAGCUCGCUGGGACGUAACUGACACUGAGGCGCGAAAGCGUGGGGAGCGAACAGG
rnacentral:rRNA from 1 species